rnacentral:rRNA from 1 species
AUUGAACGCUGGCGGCAUGCCUUACACAUGCAAGUCGAACGGCAGCACGGGUGCUUGCACCUGGUGGCGAGUGGCGAACGGGUGAGUAAUACAUCGGAACGUACCUGAUCGUGGGGGAUCACGCAGCGAAAGCUGUGCUAAUACCGCAGACGCCCUGAGGGGGAAAGCGGGGGAUCGAAAGACCUCGCGCGAUUAGAGCGGCCGAUGCCUGAUUAGCUGGUUGGUGGGGUAAAAGCCCACCAAAGCGACGAUCAGUAGCUGGUCUGAGAGGACGAUCAGCCACACUGGGACUGAGACACGGCCCAGACUCCUACGGGAGGCAGCAGUGGGGAAUUUUGGACAAUGGGGGCAACCCUGAUCCAGCAAUGCCGCGUGAGUGAAGAAGGCCUUCGGGUUGUAAAGCUCUUUUGUCAGGGAAGAAACACCGGCUCUAACACAGUCCGGGAAUGACGGUACCUGAAGAAUAAGCACCGGCUAACUACGUGCCAGCAGCCGCCGUAA